CAAAUACUCCCUCCGUUCGGAAAUACUUGUCAUCAAAAUGGAUAAAAGGAAAUGUAUCUAGACGUAUUUUAGUUUUAGAUACAUCUAUUUUUAUCCAUUUUGAUGACAAGUAUUUUCGGACGGAGGGAGUAGAAA
rfam:Triticum aestivum genome assembly, contig: Triticum_aestivum_CS42_TGACv1_scaffold_595295_7BS